rnacentral:rRNA from 1 species
UACGAAGGGGGCUAGCGUUGCUCGGAAUUACUGGGCGUAAAGCGCACGUAGGCGGUCUUUUAAGUCGGGGGUGAAAUCCUGGAGCUCAACUCCAGAACUGCCUUCGAUACUGGAAGACUCGAGUCCGGGAGAGGUGAGUGGGAACUGCGAGUGUAGAGGUGAAAUUCGUAGAUAUUCGCAAGAAUCACCGAGGCGGCAGGAGGCG